UCCUCUGCACAUUAGCUACAGGAAGGAUGAA
rnacentral:piRNA from 1 species